rnacentral:rRNA from 1 species
UCCGAUUGAUCCCGUCGGACCCCACUGCAAUCGAGAUGGGACUAAAGUAUGCUAGUUGAAUGACCAGAAUUAUGUCUGGAAGUGGCACACUGCUCAGUAACACGUAGCUAACCUACCCUUAGGACGUGGAUACCCCCGAGAAAUUGGGGUUAAUCCGCGAUAGAUGUAAUGUCCUGGAAUGGUAUUACGUCUAAAGGUAUUUCAUAUAUGUUUGAAAUAUGCCUAAGGAUGGGGCUGCGGCCGAUCAGGUUGUUGGUGAGGUAAUGGCUCACCAAACCUUUGACCGGUACGGGCCAUGAGAGUGGUAGUCCGGAGAUGGACACUGAGACAAGGGUCCAGGCCCUAAGGGGCGCAGCAACCGUGAAACCUCCACAAUGCACUUAUGUGCGAUGGGGCUAUCUCGAGUGCCACCUGAUGAAGGUGGCUUUGCCUUGGUUUUUAAAGCCUUGGGAAUAAGAGGGGGGCAAGACUGGUGUUAGUUGUUGUGGUAACACCAGCCCCUCGAGUGGUGGGGAUGAUUAUUUGGCCUAAAGCGUCCGUAGCCGGCCAUGUAAGUCUCCCGUUAAAUCCAGCGUUUUAAGUGUUGGACUGCGGGAGAUACUGCAGGGCUAGAGAGUGGGAGAGGUCAGCGGUAUUCUGGGGGUAGGGGUGAAAUUCUUUGAUCCCCGGAGGACCAUUAGUGGUGAAGGCUGCUGACUAGAACACGUCUGACGGUCAGGGACGAAAGCUGGGGUAGCGAACCGGAUUAGAUAUCCGGGUAGUCCCAGCCGUAAACGAUGCAUGCUAGGUGUUGGGUUGGCCACGUGCCACCCCAGUGCCGCAGGGAAGCUGUUAAGCAUGCCGCCUGGGAAGUACGAUCGUAAGAUUGAAAUUUAAAGGAAUUGGCGGGGGAGCACCAUCAGGUGUGAAGCCUGUGGUUUAAUUGGAGUCAAUGUUGGGAAUUUUAUUGGGAGUGAUAGUAGAGUGAAGGUUAGAUUGAAGAUUUUGUUAGAUGAGUUGAGAGGAGGUGUAUGGCCGUUGCCAGUUCGUGCCGUGAGGUGUUUUCUUAAGUGAGAUAACGAACGAGACCCGUGCCACAUGUUGUUAUUAGUAUUUAAAGGAUAGUUGAGUAUUUUUGUGGGAUUGCAGCCGAUAAGGCUGAGGAAGGUAUGGGCAACGGCAGGUUAGUAUGUUUUGAAUUUUUUGGGUUAUAUGUGGGUUGUAAUGGCAUAGAUAGAGGGUUGUUAUUUUGAGAGGGGGAGUUAAUUUUUAAAUUGUAUUUUAGUUGGGAUCGAGGGUUGUAAUUUACCCUCGUGAACAUGGAAUGCCUAGUAACCGCCAGUUAUUAUCUGGCGGUGAAUACGUCCCUGCUCCUUGCACAUAUUGUUUGUCGAACCAUCCGAAUGAGGUUUGGGUGAGGAAUGGUCGAAUGUUGGCCGUUUCGAACCUGGGCCUCGUAAGGAGGGUUAAGUUGUAAUAAGGUG